UUAAGCGACUAAGCGUACACGGUGGAUGCCCUGGCAGUCAGAGGCGAUGAAGGACGUGCUAAUCUGCGAUAAGCGUCGGUAAGGUGAUAUGAACCGUUAUAACCGGCGAUUUCCGAAUGGGGAAACCCAGUGUGUUUCGACACACUAUCAUUAACUGAAUCCAUAGGUUAAUGAGGCGAACCGGGGGAACUGAAACAUCUAAGUACCCCGAGGAAAAGAAAUCAACCGAGAUUCCCCCAGUAGCGGCGAGCGAACGGGGAGGAGCCCAGAGCCUGAAUCAGUGUGUGUGUUAGUGGAAGCGUCUGGAAAGGCGCGCGAUACAGGGUGACAGCCCCGUACACAAAAAUGCACAUGCUGUGAGCUCGAUGAGUAGGGCGGGACACGUGGUAUCCUGUCUGAAUAUGGGGGGACCAUCCUCCAAGGCUAAAUACUCCUGACUGACCGAUAGUGAACCAGUACCGUGAGGGAAAGGCGAAAAGAACCCCGGCGAGGGGAGUGAAAAAGAACCUGAAACCGUGUACGUACAAGCAGUGGGAGCACGCUUAGGCGUGUGACUGCGUACCUUUUGUAUAAUGGGUCAGCGACUUAUAUUCUGUAGCAAGGUUAACCGAAUAGGGGAGCCGAAGGGAAACCGAGUCUUAACUGGGCGUUAAGUUGCAGGGUAUAGACCCGAAACCCGGUGAUCUAGCCAUGGGCAGGUUGAAGGUUGGGUAACACUAACUGGAGGACCGAACCGACUAAUGUUGAAAAAUUAGCGGAUGACUUGUGGCUGGGGGUGAAAGGCCAAUCAAACCGGGAGAUAGCUGGUUCUCCCCGAAAGCUAUUUAGGUAGCGCCUCGUGAAUUCAUCUCCGGGGGUAGAGCACUGUUUCGGCAAGGGGGUCAUCCCGACUUACCAACCCGAUGCAAACUGCGAAUACCGGAGAAUGUUAUCACGGGAGACACACGGCGGGUGCUAACGUCCGUCGUGAAGAGGGAAACAACCCAGACCGCCAGCUAAGGUCCCAAAGUCAUGGUUAAGUGGGAAACGAUGUGGGAAGGCCCAGACAGCCAGGAUGUUGGCUUAGAAGCAGCCAUCAUUUAAAGAAAGCGUAAUAGCUCACUGGUCGAGUCGGCCUGCGCGGAAGAUGUAACGGGGCUAAACCAUGCACCGAAGCUGCGGCAGCGACGCUGAUGCGUUGUUGGGUAGGGGAGCGUUCUGUAAGCCUGCGAAGGUGUGCUGUGAGGCAUGCUGGAGGUAUCAGAAGUGCGAAUGCUGACAUAAGUAACGAUAAAGCGGGUGAAAAGCCCGCUCGCCGGAAGACCAAGGGUUCCUGUCCAACGUUAAUCGGGGCAGGGUGAGUCGACCCCUAAGGCGAGGCCGAAAGGCGUAGUCGAUGGGAAACAGGUUAAUAUUCCUGUACUUGGUGUUACUGCGAAGGGGGGACGGAGAAGGCUAUGUUGGCCGGGCGACGGUUGUCCCGGUUUAAGCGUGUAGGCUGGUUUUCCAGGCAAAUCCGGAAAAUCAAGGCUGAGGCGUGAUGACGAGGCACUACGGUGCUGAAGCAACAAAUGCCCUGCUUCCAGGAAAAGCCUCUAAGCAUCAGGUAACAUCAAAUCGUACCCCAAACCGACACAGGUGGUCAGGUAGAGAAUACCAAGGCGCUUGAGAGAACUCGGGUGAAGGAACUAGGCAAAAUGGUGCCGUAACUUCGGGAGAAGGCACGCUGAUAUGUAGGUGAAGUCCCUCGCGGAUGGAGCUGAAAUCAGUCGAAGAUACCAGCUGGCUGCAACUGUUUAUUAAAAACACAGCACUGUGCAAACACGAAAGUGGACGUAUACGGUGUGACGCCUGCCCGGUGCCGGAAGGUUAAUUGAUGGGGUUAGCGCAAGCGAAGCUCUUGAUCGAAGCCCCGGUAAACGGCGGCCGUAACUAUAACGGUCCUAAGGUAGCGAAAUUCCUUGUCGGGUAAGUUCCGACCUGCA
rnacentral:rRNA from 1 species